rnacentral:tmRNA from 1 species
GGGGUCGUUCUGGUUUUGACAGCAAGCAGAGUGAAACCGUAAGCAUGCCGGGCCAUGGGACUUAUGCCUGUUAAAAUGUGUUCCAAACAAAUAAAAGGCGAAAACUUCGCAAUGGCUGCUUAAUCUUAAUUGAUUAAACCAGUCUGGAACGGUUGCUAGGCAAUUGGUUCCUUCCCUUCCCGGAGAUUUCUCCCUGUAAUUUCCGAACCGGAAGGGUAGUAUACGGGGAUAGUUGUUGCAGUGUCCUGAUGUAAUGGCGAAAUUAAAGGAAUAAGGAACAGGUAGGUCGCAUCUUGCCGGCCUGCUCCCGACAAUCAAGUUGAUGCUAAGCAUGUAGAAAGCUGUUUGGUUCCUUGUUUGGACCCGGGUUCGACUCCCGGCGGCUCCACCU